rnacentral:lncRNA from 1 species
UGUUCACUUUUGUGUAACUUUUUCUCAAGUUUAAUUUCAUUCUCUUCUGACUUCGAAAGCAAACCAAAAUAACCUCCCCAGCACCGUGCUCACACUAAAAAAUGAGAAAAAAGAUUAGAAAAGUCUGGGUGGAAUGAAUGUUAAAAGGUUCUAAGGAAAAUACUUCAGAUAGCCAUUUGCCUGAUACUGACAUUAUCUUCUUAUUCUGUGCUGUCCCUUAAUCUUUGCUCUACAAAACUUUUCUUUUCUCCCUCUUCUAGGUUCCCAGCACAAUGAGACUUGGGCUAAUUAACUCCUAAGCAGAAACACAGACUUACAAUGAGGUACAGAAAGAUGCUGUCCACCUGUGAGCAAACAGGGGCACAUAAGGCCAUCAGGGUCCUGGUUCCUCCCCCUCACCUUUUCAGAGAAAAAUCUCAUCAGCAGUGUUUUUCUUGAGAUUCCUAUGUCAAAGACCUACCUGAAACACCUCCAGAUAGUCUCGUAUUCCAGUGCUAACUGCCGCCUGCUCUUCCUCUAGCCAUUAUAUUUUCUUUCUAAAGGUCUGGAUGGGAAGGAGGGUUGCAGAACAUUGGGGAGAGAGAAAGAGAAAAUCUUGUCUUUACAUCUAUGUGGUUAAUUUUUCUAUGCAGGAGCAAAACAGCACUUAAAUUUUUUUGUCUGUGAAACCCUGGCUUGUGCAAAUUUCUAACUAGCUUCCUGCUCAUUGUAUGUCUUAGUUUCUUGUGAUAGGAAACUACCUGGUAGCA